rnacentral:misc_RNA from 1 species
UACGAAGGUGGCUAGCGUUGUUCGGAAUCACUGGGCAUAAAGCGCGCGUAGGCGGCCGGGUCAGUCGGAUGUGAAAGCCCUCAGCUCAACUGAGGAACUGCGUCCGAUACUGCCUGGCUUGAGGUCUGGAGGGGAGAACGGAAUUCCUGGUGGAGCGGUGAAAUGCGUAGAGAUCAGGAGGAACGUCGGCGGCGAAAGCGGUUCUCUGGACAGAUUCUGACGCUGAGGCGCGAAAGCUAGGGGAGCAAACGGG